rnacentral:rRNA from 1 species
CGGGCUGCGCUCCAUUAGCUUGUUGGUAGGGUAACGGCCUACCAAGGCGACGAUGGAUAGCUGGUCUGAGAGGAUGAUCAGCCACACUGGAACUGGAACACGGUCCAGACUCCCACGGGAGGCAGCAGUUGGGAAUAUUGGACAAUGGGGGAAACCCUGAUCCAGCAAUGCCGCGUGAGUGAUGAAGGCCUUCGGGUCGUAAAGCUCUUUCAGCGGGGACGUGACGGUACCCGCAGAAGAAGCACCGGCUAACUACGUGCCAGCAGCCGCGGUAAUACGUAGGGUGCAAGCGUUGUUCGGAAUUAUUGGGCGUAAAGCGCGUGUAGGCGGUUGCUUAAGUCUGAUGUGAAAUCCCGGGGCUUAACCCCGGAAGUGCAUUGGAUACUGGGCAACUAGAGGGCGAGAGAGGGAAGUGGAAUUCCUGGUGUAGGGGUGAAAUCCGUAGAU